CUACGGAGGGUGCAAGCGUUAAUCGGAAUUACUGGGCGUAAAGCGUACGUAGGCGGUUCGUUAAGUUAGAUGUGAAAGCCCCGGGCUUAACCUGGGAACUGCAUUUAAAACUGGCGAACUAGAGUUGAGUAGAGGGGAGUGGAAUUUCAGGUGUAGCGGUGAAAUGCGUAGAGAUCUGAAGGAACACCAGUGGCGAAGGCGGCUCCCUGGACUCAAACUGACGCUGAGGUACGAAAGCGUGGGUAGCAAACGGGAUUAGAAACCCUUGUAGUCC
rnacentral:rRNA from 1 species